UCCUUUGCGCUGUCCUGCCGCUCACGGAAACAAGAAGGUCGCAGUUAGCAGCAGUAAACUCAAGCGGGAGAGAAAUUAGACCGCAAUCAUGCUGGGACAAGCUGUGAGGCGCUUCACGACGUCUGCUAUCCGUUCCUCACACUAUGCUGAAGGACCAGGCAAGAACCUGCCAUUCUCUGUGGAUAACAAGUGGCGUCUGCUGGGCAUGAUGGUCUUGUUCUUCGGAAGUGGCUUUGCAUUCCCCUUCAUUGUCGUCAGACAUCAGAUUCUGAAGAAGUAAAAUGCUCCAGCGAUUCCUUCAAGGCUGUCAGCUGGAACAUAUUUAUCUGUGCAGAAGAAUGGGAAUCACUUAAUUUUCUUUGUAAAUAAAGCCUCCUUAAGUACAAA